rnacentral:tRNA from 1 species
GGCCCAGUGGCCUAAUGGAUAAGGCAUCAGCCUCCGGAGCUGGAGAUUGUGGGUUCAAGUCCCAUCUGGGUCA